rnacentral:rRNA from 1 species
AUUGAACGCUGGCGGCAGGCCUAACACAUGCAAGUCGAGCGAGCGGCGGACGGGUGAGUAAUGUAUGGGGACUGCCCGUUAGAGGGGGAUAACUACUGGAAACGGUAGCUAAUACCGCAUACUAUCGGAUAACCCAUAUGGGAUUAGCUCUUAGGUGCGGUAAUGGCUAACCUAGGCGACGAUCCCUAGCUGGUCUGAGAGGAUGAUCAGCCAGACGGGGAGUGAGACACGGCCCAGACUCCUACGGAGGAAGCAGUGGGGAAUAUUUCACAAUGGGCGAAAGCCUGAUGCAGCCAUGCCGCGUGUAUGAAGAAGGCCCUAGGGUGGUAAAGUACUUUCGGUCGGGAGGCGUUACCGACAGAAGAAGCACCGGCUAACUCCGUGCCAGCAGCCGCGGUAAUUC